AAUCUGUGGUACGAACAUUUCUGAAUCAACAUUUUGAAACGUUCUCAUGCCUCAUAAAAACUUUCUCCUUUCAACUAUCUAAAGAUAAAAAUCUCUUUUCUUAGUUG
rfam:Gossypium hirsutum cultivar TM-1 chromosome 6, whole genome shotgun sequence